rnacentral:lncRNA from 1 species
UGGGGAUAGUAUCGUGUGGACACUAUAAACGGGUUCAGAAUUUGCAAUUAGAAUAGUCAGAACCGGACCAAACGGUGAACUGAUCAUAGAUCAGCUGGUUGAGUUUUGUGUGGUGGAACCUGCUCAUCUGGGUUCAAGUUCUUGAUUUGGCAUGAGUGUUCAUUUUUUUAGAUUCAUUCCAGGAUUUAACGGCGCUAUGUUUGGUAGGCAACGUCUCCGUCGAUAGCAAGACGCCUAUGGUGACUUCGUAAAUCUCGAGAUCUGCUGACUCAGUCCAUCGAAGGUGCUCAUAGGGAUAGAGUUUAUGUACGUGUGUUCAUAUAGGUGAAUGCGCGUGUGUUGUACCGUGUAAUUUUUUUUUUAAACAAAGAACUAGACCAAACGGGCUAUAACUUGCUUUUUUUUUUCCGGGUCUGGCAUGUUGUCAUCCUGGCUAUAAAUAAUAACAUGCUAUAACUUGAAACUGGGUGUGGUUGGAACGGGUUGUUGCUGUGUGUCUUUGUUGAAACUAGGUUCUAACUUGAUUGAAUUGGGUCUGGUUGAAAUUGGAUGUAUUUGUGUAGAAUCGGGUCUGACUUGAGAUUGAAUCGGAUCUAAAAUGAUGGUUGAAGAUAAAAAAAAAUAUUUAACUUAUUAGGACGAAGCUAAUAUGCCAUGUAAAAAAAACCGAGAAAGCAUAGGAGCAAAUGUGCUAGUAAGUAUAUGCAUCAUCGAUAUUGUUUUUUUUAUAUAUAUAGAGAGAAACAUGAAUUGACCUAAAGUAAUCAGUAUAGUUGCUCCCAAGAAGGUUUUAGGAAUCAUCCUCAGACGUGAGAUGUUGCAGGAUUUAACGGUCCUAUUUUUUUAGCGGGUAGACGACGUCUUCAUCGAGAACGAGACACCUACAAUGACUUCGUGGAUCGGCUAGCUCAGUUCUUCAGAGAUAUUCAUAGAGAUAAGAUCUACGUACAUGUAUUCACAAAAGUAAGCAUGUGUACGUUGUGAGUAUCUGUGUUAUACUAGGUAAUUAAAAAAAAACAAACCCAAGCGAGAGACGCCAAACCUUAAAUAAAUAAAUAAAUAAAUAAAUAAAUAAUAUUUUUUGAAUGAUAAUAAAUAAUAAAUAAAACAAAACUGGCGGUUGGAAGCACUACUACAGAAUGAGGCAUUGGUCGAUGCUCAAAAUGGCCAAA